rnacentral:rRNA from 1 species
GCAGCAGUGGGGAAUUUUGGACAAUGGGGGCAACCCUGAUCCAGCCAUGCCGCGUGAGUGAAGAAGGCCUUCGGGUUGUAAAGCUCUUUCGGCCGGGAAGAAAUCGCAUCUUUUAAUAGAGGGUGUGGAUGACGGUACCGGACUAAGAAGCACCGGCUAACUACGUGCCAGCAGCCGCGGUAAUACGUAGGGUGCGAGCGUUAAUCGGAAUUACUGGGCGUAAAGCGUGCGCAGGCGGUUUGCCAAGACAGGCGUGAAAUCCCCGGGCUUAACCUGGGAACUGCGCUUGUGACUGGCAGGCUAGAGUACGGCAGAGGGGGGUGGAAUUCCACGUGUAGCAGUGAAAUGCGUAGAGAUGUGGAGGAACACCGAUGGCGAAGGCAGCCCCCUGGGCCUGUACUGACGCUCAUGCACGAAAGCGUGGGGAGCAAACAGGAUUAGAUACCCUGGUAGUCCACGCCCUAAACGAUGUCGACUAGUCGUUCGGAGCAGCAAUGCACUGAGUGACGCAGCUAACGCGUGAAGUCGACCGCCUGG